GAUGAAGAACGUAGCGAAAUGCGAUACUUGGUGUGAAUUGCAGAAUCCCGUGAACCAUCGAGUCUUUGAACGCAAGUUGCGCCCGAAGCCACUAGGCCGAGGGCACGCCUGCCUGGGCGUCACACGCCGUUGCCCCCCCAUCUACUCCUUCGGGAUUGCGGGGGGGCGGAUGAUGGCCUCCUGUGCGCCUAGCCGCGCGGUUGGCAUAAAUACCAAGUCCUCGGCGACGCACGCCACGACAAUCGGUGGUUGCGAAACCUCGGUUGCCCGUCGUGUGCGUUCGUCGCGCAUCGAGGGCUCGAAAAAAUGCUCGGCUCCGGCUGGGCUUUCAACGCGACCUCAGGUCAGGCGGGGCUACCCGCUGAGUUUAAGCAUAUCAAUAAGCGGAGGA
rnacentral:misc_RNA from 1 species